AGAGUGAAAUCAUCUUCAUCCUGCAAAAAACAAAACACUCCAGAUUUAUUUAGUAUGCAAGCAAAGAUUAAUGAACGCUUUAGAACCCCAGGAAUGCGAAGUUAUGCUGUGAUCUCCCAACAAGAUCUGUGACAUACAAGACCCUUGUGAAUGAGCCGUUACCAUAGCAACGAUCCUGUAUUACAUUCUGACCGUCAGAGUCACUUUUACAGAGAAAUAAUCCACACCUUCCGAUCAAAACCCAAGGUGUGGUUGCAUGUCCCAAAGCAUCUGGCUGAUCUUUGGCGUAAUCGAAAUGACAGCGCUGCACCACACGAACACCAUCCAAAACCAGAAGAGGAAGUGGUAAAGGAUGUCAGGAAAAAUGUACAGGGGUCAGUACAGGUUUCAGCAACUGACUCAAAAUGAAACUUAUUAAA